rnacentral:rRNA from 1 species
AUACGUAGGGUGCAAGCGUUAAUCGGAAUUAUUGGGCGUAAAGCGCGCGCAGGUGGUUCCUUAAGUCUGAUGUGAAAGCCCCCGGCUCAACCGGGGAGGGUCAUUGGAAACUGGGGAACUUGAGUGCAGAAGAGGAUAGUGGAAUUCCAAGUGUAGCGGUGAAAUGCGUAGAGAUUUGGAGGAACACCAGUGGCGAAGGCGACUGUCGGGUCUGUAACUGACACUGAGGCGCGAAAGCGUGGGGAGCAAACAGGAUUAGAUACCCUGGUAGUCCACGCCGUAAACGAUGAGUGCUAAGUGUUGGGGGGUUUCCGCCCCUCAGUGCUGCAGCUAACGCAUUAAGCACUCCGCCUGGGGAGUACGGUCGCAAGACUGAAACUCAAAUGAAUUGGCGGGG